AGAGCGAACGCUGGCGGCAGGCCUAACACAUGCAAGUCGAGCGGCCGUAGCAAUACGGCAGCGGCAGACGGGAGAGUAACACGUGGGAACGCGCCCUUCGGUUCGGAAUAACUCAGGGAAACUUGGGCUAAUACCGGAUACGCCCUUACGGGGAAAGAUUUAUUGCCGAAGGAACGGCCCGCGUCCGAUUAGCUUGUUGGUGAGGUAACGGCUCACCAAGGCGACGAUCGGUAGCUGGUCUGAGAGGAUGACCAGCCUCACUGGGACUGAGACACGGCCCAGACUCCUACGGGAGGCAGCAGUGGGGAAUAUUGGACAAUGGGCGCAAGCCUGAUCCAGCCAUGCCGCGUGGGUGAUGAAGGCCCUAGGGUUGUAAAGCCCUUUCGGGCGGGGAAGAUAAUGACGGUACCCGCAGAAGAAGCCCCGGCUAACGUUCGCGCCAGCAGCCGC
rnacentral:rRNA from 1 species